UUGGAGGGCAAGUCUGGUGCCAGCAGCCGCGGUAAUUCCAGCUCCAAUAGCGUAUAUUAAAGUUGUUGCAGUUAAAAAGCUCGUAGUUGAAUUUCGGGGUUAGUAGGUUGGUCAUGCCUCUGGUAUGUACUGGUCUCACUGAUUCCUCCUUCCUGAUGAACCGUAAUGCCAUUAAUUUGGUGUUGCGGGGAAUUUGGACUGUUACUUUGAAAAAAUUAGAGUGUUUAAAGCAAGCUAACGCUUGGAUACAUUAGCAUGGAAUAAUGAAAUAGGACGUUCGAUCCUAUUUUGUUGGUUUCUAGGAUUGACGUAAUGAUUAAUAGGGAUAGUUGGGGGCAUUAGUAUUCAAUUGUCAGAGGUGAAAUUCUUGGAUUUAUUGAAGACUAACUACUGCGAAAGCAUUUGCCAAGGAUGUUUUCAUUAAUCAAGAACGAAAGUUAGGGGAUCGAAGACGAUCAGGUACCGUCGUAGUCUUAACCAUAAACUAUGCCGACUAGGGAUCGGAUGAUGUUAAUUUUUUAAUGUCUCAUUCGGCGCCUUACGGGAAAC
rnacentral:rRNA from 1 species